rnacentral:snRNA from 2 species
GUGCUCUCUUCGGCAGCAUGUAUACUAAAAUUGGAACGAUACAGAGAAGAUUAGCACGGCCCCUGCACAAGGAUGACACACAAAUUCAUGAAGGGUUCCAUAUUUUU